rnacentral:rRNA from 1 species
UCUAGCCUGCUCACUGAUAUAGAUAUUAAAUAGCCGCGGUAUCUUGACCGUGCAAAGGUAGCAUAAUCAUUAGUUUUUUAAUUGAAAACUUGUAUGAAUGGUUGGACAAAGAAGUAACUGUCUCUUUUAUUAAAAUUGAAUUUAACUUUUAAGUGAAAAGGCUUAAAUUUUUCAAAGGGACGAUAAGACCCUAUAAAGCUUUAUAAGUUUAGAGACUUUAUAUAUUUUUCUAUAGCAAUAAUUUCUUGAAAGCUUAUUUGGUUGGGGCGACAAUAGUAUAAUUGAAAUAACUGCUUUAAAAUAAUACAAAUAUAUUUGAAUUAUAAUUAGUUGAUCCUUUAUAAAGAUUUAAGAUCAAGUUACUUUAGGGAUAACAGCGUUAUUUUUCCUGAGAGUCCUUAUCAAAGGAAAAGUUUGCGACCUCGAUGUUGAAUUAAAAUGUCUUUAUAGUGCAGCAGCUAUAAAAGAAGGUCUGUUCGACCUUUAAUAUUUUACAUGAUUUGAGUUCAGACCGGCGAGAGCCAGGUCGGUUUCUAUCUUUUGGAAAGAGAGAAUUUACCUUAGUACGAAAGGAUUGGGUAAAUAAAAAGCUUUUAGUAGUUGAAAU